GAUGAGCGCUGGCGGCGUGCCUAUUACAUGCAAGUCGAGCGAAUGGAUUAAGAGCUUGCUCUUAUGAAGUUAGCGGCGGACGGGUGAGUAACACGUGGGUAACCUGCCCAUAAGACUGGGAUAACUCCGGGAAACCGGGGCUAAUACCGGAUAACAUUUUGAACCGCAUGGUUCGAAAUUGAAAGGCGGCUUCGGCUGUCACUUAUGGAUGGACCCGCGUCGCAUUAGCUAGUUGGUGAGGUAACGGCUCACAAAGGCAACGAUGCGUAGCCGACCUGGGAGGGUGAUCGGCCACACUGGGACUGAGACACGGCCCAGACUCCGACGGGAGGCAGCAGUAGGGAAUCUUCCGCAACGGACGAAAGUCUGACGGAGCAACGCCGCGUGAGUGAUGAAGGCUUUCGGGUCGUAAAACUCUGUUGUUAGGGAAGAACAAGUGCUAGUUGAAUAAGCUGGCACCUUGACGGUACCUAACCAGAAAGCCACGGCUAAUUACGUGCCAGCCGCCGCAGUAA
rnacentral:rRNA from 1 species